UACGUAGGGGGCAAGCGUUGUCCGGAUUUAUUGGGCGUAAAGAGCGUGUAGGCGGUUUGGUAGGUCCGCUGUGAAAACUCGAGGCUCAACCUCGAGACGCCGGUGGAAACCAUCAGGCUAGAGUCCGGAAGAGGAGAGUGGAAUUCCUGGUGUAGCGGUGAAAUGCGCAGAGAUCCGGAAGAACACCGGUGGCGAAGGCGGUGAGCUGGGCAGUAACUGACGCUGAGGAGCGAAAGCGUGGGGAGCGAACAGG
rnacentral:rRNA from 1 species